UGGGAAGGGCUGUGGCUGAGUGGAAGAGCCUCUGCUUUGCAUGCAGAAGGUCUCAGGUUCAGUCCCUAGUAUUCCAG
rnacentral:tRNA from 1 species